AGCUAAUGCAUUAUGUAAAUGUGCAACCCUCUCUUACCAAAUGCAAGUUUACAGAGAAAAAGAAAGAAAGGGAAAAAACUGCAUUGAAAGAGUUUUUGUUUUUUUUUUUAGUCGUCUAUUCUUUUUAAAUUCUCAAACUCCUGGCAAGCAGUAUCAGAAGUAAAAUUUUCUCACGAUUUCUUUUCUAGACAUUUCCUUCACCAGACUAAUUUUAAAAUUAAAUGAAAUAUGUCAUAUAAACUCUGGUCCUUCCUACAGCUAUGCAAUUACUGAACAACAAGCUCGAAGAUAUUUACAAGAACGAUAUCCUUGCCCGGUUUUCCACAGCUGUUUCUGCUCUUGCCUCCCAUAAGACACUUGACAGAAUAAUUACCAAGCAUGACAGUAUAUCAGCUUGAUAUUCAGACAUGAUUUUUACAUCUCUUGGCAUGGCAUCUCAACAGAAAAUGCAGUGGCAAGCAGUAGCGGCAGCCGGAGGGAGAGCCCCCAUAGACAGAGUUCGUCCCAGGACACUCAAAGAGUUAAAAACCACAUGGUAAUCUUCCCAUACUAUCACAGGCAGUUAAUCUUAUUUGAAGGAACACAUUUUGCCUGUAGACAUCGUAGCCUCGGGGUGUGAGCAGGAGAGGGGUGCGCGGGGCAGAACAGGAGUGGCCGAAGGGCACAAGGGAAAUGGCCGGGAGAGAGCUGCCAGCUGCCUCCCCAGGCCGGGACCCAGCCCAUGUGUGACCUCCUUAUCCAGCAUCAUCAGAUGUCUCUAUGUGUGAUCAAGAAUACAGUCAGACAUAAUCCAUUAUGGGCUCACCAAUCUUACAGAGAAAGGCUGGAUGGGAAGCUAUGGCUGGAACCAGAAGCCAGAUCAAUACCAGGAAUUAAGUCCUUUCUUGAAACUGAGGUUUAUUAACCUGAACACAGGCUGAUAGGAAGUCAUGAAAACCCACAUAUUAUUGGAUUCACUGGACUUGGUGAAAUUUAACUCAACUGAAUUUAAUAAAAACGAAGUUAAAAAGGUGUCAUUUCUGAUCCUUUUAGUCUUAUUUUUCUGUAAUAAAAUAACCCUUCUGGCUUUGAGAGCUAUAUAUCUAUAUUUCUACAGAAAUACCUGAACAAAUGGGUCUGUGUCUGCUUGGCUCACAUUUAUCUGCAUCAUAUAUAGCAAAUGUACUUUAUAGGAACUACGGGUUUCCUUUAAGCUCAUUGAACUCCCUACAUCAUGUCCUGUCACAUAACCCAGUGUUGCAUUGAUCAUCCGAUG
rnacentral:lncRNA from 13 species